CAGGGGCUGCAAAUAAUGCUGCUCAUGUGGCUGCAAGUGCCUUCACCCCUGCAAAAGCAGAACCAGAAGAGCUGAAGGUAAGAUGCUGGUGUUUGGGGGCAGGAUUUUCCAUGGGGUGAGGGCAAUGGGGAGCGAUGCUGGGGCUGCUGUUACAGUGGGCUGAGCACUGGGAAGCUCAGCACAUGCCAGGGUGGCUGUGCCCGCUCGGCACAGUGAUGUCCCCAGGACAGCACCUUAUCCUGGAUGUGGGACAAGGCUUCUGGUGCCAGGGUGGCAGCAGCCCCUCAGCAUCCCAGCAGGGCUCAUUGCUGCUUGGGGUGGUUUCUCUCACUGGGGGUGUGCAGGGGACCUCUUUGGACCCUUCUGUGAAAGCAGAAGUUAGGAGAGCUCCCAUCAGAAGCACAGGCAGGGCUCGCAGACCACUAAAGGUUAAGUACCUUCUCGCUGCUUCAGCAGUUCCCCUUCCUGCAAGAGGCUUUGCAAUCCCUUGGCUGCUUGAUGUGCCCAAUCUGUGAGGGCAGGUC